CCUACGGGUGGCAGCAGUGAGGAAUAUUGGUCAAUGGUCGAGAGUCUGAACCAGCCAAGUCGCGUGAAGGAUGACUGCCCUAUGGGCUGUAAACUUCUUUUCUGAGGGAAUAAAGCGUGUGACGUGUGCCUUUUUGCAUGUACUUUAUGAAUAAGGAUCGUCUCACUCCGUGCCAUCAGCCGCGGUAAUACGGAGGAUCCGUGCGUUAUCCGGAUUUAUUGGGUUUAAAGGGAGCGUAGAUGGGUGUGUAAGUCAGUUGUGAAAGGUUGGGGCUCAACCGCAGAAUUGCAAUUGAUACUGGCAGACUGGAGUACAGGUGAGGUAGGCGGAAUGCGUGGUGUAGCGGUGAAAUGCGUAGAUAUCACGAAGAACUCCGAUUGCGAAGGCAGCUUACUGAACUGCCACUGACACUGAGGCACGAAAGUGUGGGUAUCAAACAGGAUUAGAUACCCUUGUAGUC
rnacentral:rRNA from 1 species